rnacentral:rRNA from 1 species
UGCCAGCAGCCGCGGUAAUACGAAGGGGGCGAGCGUUAUUCGGAAUUAUUGGGCGUAAAGGGCUCGCAGGCUGCUUGAACAGUUAGACGUGAAAUCCCCGGGCUCAACCUGGGAACUGCGUUUAAAACUCUUUUGCUUGAAUAAAAAAGAAGACAAUAGAACUCUAUAAGGAAGGGUAAAAUCUAAAGAUUUAUAGAAGAAUGCCAAUAGCGAAAGCAAUUGUCUAGUUUUUAUUGACAUUGAGGAACGAAAGUGUAGGGAGCAAACAGGAUUAGAUA